AUUGAACGCUGGCGGCAGGCCUAACACAUGCAAGUCGAGCGGAGCGGCGGACGGGUGAGUAAGUCCUAGGAAGCUGCCUGGUCGUGGGGGAUAACAUCCGGAAACGGGCGCUAAUACCGCAUACUACCUGAUGACCCUAGGGUGGAUUAGCUAGUUGGUGGGGUAAAGGCCUACUAAGGCGACGAUCCGUACCUGGUCUGAGAGGAUGAUCAGCCACACUGGAACUGAGACACGGUCCAGACUCCUACGGGAGGCAGCAGUUGGGAAUAUUGCACAAUGGGCGAAAGCCUGAUCCAGCCAUGCCGCGUGUGUGAAGAAGGUCUUCGGAUUGUAAAGCACUUUAAGUAGGGAGGCGUUACCAACAGAAUAAGCACCGGCUAACUCCGUGCCAGCAGCCGCGGUAAUUC
rnacentral:rRNA from 1 species